GUGAGCCGUGUAAUAGGCGACCAUUUCGCGCGGUUCGGGGGGCACUUGAAUAAGCCGUCGGCACCCGGCUGCGUCUUUACCCCUAU
rfam:Triticum aestivum genome assembly, contig: Triticum_aestivum_CS42_TGACv1_scaffold_131997_2BL